AUUGAACGCUGGCGGCAGGCCUAACACAUGCAAGUCGAGCGGUAGCACAGAGAGCUUGCUCUCGGGUGACGAGCGGCGGACGGGUGAGUAAUGUCUGGGAAACUGCCUGAUGGAGGGGGAUAACUACUGGAAACGGUAGCUAAUACCGCAUAACGUCGCAAGACCAAAGUGGGGGACCUUCGGGCCUCAUGCCAUCAGAUGUGCCCAGAUGGGAUUAGCUAGUAGGUGGGGUAACGGCUCACCUAGGCGA
rnacentral:rRNA from 1 species